rnacentral:rRNA from 1 species
CCGGCGACCGGCGCACGGGUGAGUAACACGUAUGGAACCUGCCCGCAGCAGGGGGAUAAGCGGAAGAAAUUCCGUCUAAUACCGCGUAACAACGUUGGGAGGCAUCUCCCGAUGUUUAAAGAUUUAUCGGCUGUGGAUGGCCAUGCGGCGCAUUAGCUAGUCGGCGGGGUAACGGCCCACCGAGGCGACGAUGCGUAGGGGUUCUGAGAGGAAGGUCCCCCACACUGGUACUGAGACACGGACCAGACUCCUACGGGAGGCAGCAG